rnacentral:rRNA from 1 species
AUUGAACGCUGGCGGCAGGCCUAACACAUGCAAGUCGAGCGAGCGGCGGACGGGGGAGUAAUGUAUGGGGACUGCCCGAUAGAGGGGGAUAACUACUGGAAACGGUAGCUAAUACCGCAUACUAUCGGAUAACCCAUAUGGGAUUAGCUAGUAGGUGGGGUAAUGGCUCACCUAGGCGACGAUCCCUAGCUGGUCUGAGAGGAGGAGCAGCCACACUGGGACUGAGACACUGCCCAGACUCCUACGGAGGCAGCAGUGGGGAAUAUUGCACAAUGGGCGCAAGCCUGAUGCAGCCAUGCCGCGUGUGUGAAGAAGGCCUUAGGGUUGUAAAGUACUUUCAGUCGGGAGGCGUUACCGACAGAAGAAGCACCGGCUAACUCCGUGCCAGCAGCCGCGGUAAUAC